CUAAAAUAUUGAAAAUAGGUAUAUAGUAUAGUUAAAACAUUUUUAAUAGGAAAUUUCCUAAGUUACAAUUUUGUAUUCUUAUAAUUUUUUCCUAAACUCAAUAUUUUAGGAGUUAUAGCAACUUUU